GGGGUAUUAGCUCAGCUGAUAGAGCGCCGCAUUCGCAUUGCGGAGGUCGCGGGUUUAAGUCCCGCAUACUCCACCA
rnacentral:tRNA from 1 species